AGCGAACGCUGGCGGCAUGCCUAACACAUGCAAGUCGAGCGCCCUCAGCAAUGGGGGAGCGGCGGACGGGUGAGUAACGCGUAGGAACGUAUCCUGAGGUGGGGGAUAACCCUGGGAAACUAGGGCUAAUACCGCAUGAUGGCGAGAGCCCAAAGAUUUAUCGCCUUGGGAGCGGCCUGCGUCUGAUUAGCUUGUUGGUGGGGUAACGGCCUACCAAGGCGAUGAUCAGUAGCUGGUCUGAGAGGAUGAUCAGCCACACUGGGACUGAGACACGGCCCAGACUCCUACGGGAGGCAGCAGUGGGGAAUAUUGGACAAUGGGCGAAAGCCUGAUCCAGCAAUGCCGCGUGGAUGAAGAAGGUCUUCGGAUUGUAAAGUCCUUUCGGCGGGGACGAUGAUGACGGUACCCGCAGAAGAAG
rnacentral:rRNA from 1 species